UUAGUACUCCCUCCGUCUGGAAUUACUUGUCACAGAAAUAGAUGAAAAUAGAUGUAUCUAUAACUAAAAUACGUCUAGAUACAUCUAUUUCUAUGACAAGUAUUUUCGGACGGAGGGAGUAUAAA
rnacentral:pre_miRNA from 1 species